CCUACGGGAGGCUGCAGUAGGGAAUAUUGCUCAAUGGGGGAAACCCUGAAGCAGCAACGCCGCGUGGAGGAUGAAGGUUUUCGGAUUGUAAACUCCUUUUGUUAGAGAAGAUAAUGACGGUAUCUAACGAAUAAGCACCGGCUAACUCCGUGCCAGCAGCCGCGGUAAUACGGAGGAUGCAAGCGUUACUCGGAAUCACUGGGCGGAAAGAGCGCGGAGGCGGGAUAGCAAGUCAGAUGUAAAAUCCUAUGGCUUAACCAUAAAACUGCAUUUGAAACUGUUAUUCUAGAGUAUGGGAGAGGUAAGUGGAAUUCUUGGUGUAGGGGUAAAAUCCGUAGAGAUCAGGAGGAAUACUCAUUGCGAAGGCGACCUGCUAGAACAUUACUGACGCUGAUGCGCGAAAGCGUGGGGAGCAAACAGGAUUAGAUACCCGAGUAGUC
rnacentral:rRNA from 1 species